GACGAACGCUGGCGGCGUGCUUAACACAUGCAAGUCGAACGGAAAGGCCUGCUUUCCCUUGUGGAUUGCGGGUACUUGGGUGGAGAACGGGUGAGUAACACGUGAGUGAUCUGCCCCCAACUUGGGUAUACGCCUGGGCAACUGGGUCUAAUUCCCGAUAGGACUGAAGGGUGGUGCCUGUUGUGGAAAUCGUUGUUCUAGUGGUUGGGGAUGAGCUCGCGGCCUAUCAGCUUGUUGGAGGGGUAAUGGCCUACCAGGGCGGCGACGGGUAGCCGACGUGAGGGGGUGUACGUGCACAGUGGGGCUGACAUACGGCACGGAGACCGAGGGACGGCAGCGGCGGCGACUGGAGGACGAUGGGCGGAAGCCUGAGGCAGCGACGACGCGUGGGCGAUGCCGGGCUGCGUGAUUUAAGCAGCUUUCGGGCGCGAGGAAGCCACUUGGUUGGAAGGGUGGUGACGGUAGUGGGAGAAGAAGCCCCGGCUAACUACGUG
rnacentral:rRNA from 1 species